CCGACCGUCACGCAGAAAGCACGCGAUCAUGCAGGAUACAAAUGCACACUUCACAAGAAUCACAACUAGAUUCCACUAAGUCUGCAAGGUCUGUGGAAUUAAAUGUUUAUUAGACAUUUAAAGAUUUGUUUAAAA